AGCUCAGUGGUAGAGCACAUACUUAGCAUGUAUGAAGUCCUGGGUUCAAGCCCCAG
rnacentral:tRNA from 1 species